GGGGAAUCUUCCGCAAUGGACGAAAGUCUGACGGAGCAACGCCGCGUGAGUGAUGACGGCCUUCGGGUUGUAAAGCUCUGUGAUCGGGGACGAAUGGCUGGUAUGCUAAUACCAUAUCAGAGUGACGGUACCCGAAUAGCAAGCCACGGCUAACUACGUGCCAGCAGCCGCGGUAAUACGUAGGUGGCAAGCGUUGUCCGGAAUUAUUGGGCGUAAAGCGCGCGCAGGCGGCUUCUUAAGUCCAUCUUAAAAGUGCGGGGCUUAACCCCGUGAUGGGAUGGAAACUGGGAGGCUGGAGUAUCGGAGAGGAAAGUGGAAUUCCUAGUGUAGCGGUGAAAUGCGUAGAGAUUAGGAAGAACACCGGUGGCGAAGGCGACUUUCUGGACGACAACUGACGCUGAGGCGCGAAAGCGUGGGGAGCAAACAGGAUUAGAUACCCUGGUAGUCCACGCCGUAAAACGAUGAAUACUAGGUGUAGG
rnacentral:rRNA from 1 species